rnacentral:pre_miRNA from 7 species
CUUGAAACGAAUGUCGUGUAUCCUCAGCUUUGAGAACUGAAUUCCAUGGGUUGUAAUUGAAUCCUUUGUCAGACCCAUGGGGCUCAGUUCUUCAGCUUGGAUAUUUCUGUCUUCACAUACACGG